AUUUUACGCCUUAACAAACCAACCCCACCAAGACUUCAAACUAACUCAACAAAUACCCUCUUCUUCCUCACCUCUUACUCUUCAACCUUCUCUCUUCUCUCUCUCUAUCUCUCUGGAGCUAGCUUAGAAAGCAAGAGGAGGAUAACCAAAUGAAGCUCUCGGCUCUGCAGCAGAGCUACAUGAAUCGCCGGAGCACCAGCUUCAGAGGAUCAGCACCGUUAGAUUCGUCUGCUGAAAGUGCGAUUAAAUCUCCGGCAGCUAUCUUUUGGCUCCUUCUUCACGGUGUUUGCUGCCUUAUUAGUCUUGUCCUUGGUUUCCGUUUCUCUCGUUUAGUUUUUUUGUUUCUUUUCUCCACCUCUACCUCUAAUCUCUACAGCACGCCCUUCCGUCAGCUCACCUCCACCGCUGACCUGGCCAAUUCUCUUAAUGUCCCUUCCAAUCCGGUUGUUAA
rnacentral:misc_RNA from 1 species